UAAAGAGUCUGAGUAACUGAGUCUGUAAACAGGUGCCACUGCUUGAUGCUAAUCUGUCUAAUUUAUAGCCCUAUUAUGCAUCCUCUCUGGAAGAUAUAGUGUUCAGUUUAAUGCUCACAUAUCACUUUCCCAAAAGGUAAAUACUUGUUUCAUGUUUUAGAUCAAUUAACAGGCUAAUGGCAACAAGGGGAAGACACAGAAGAAAGGAGGCAUCCUGGAGUCUCUUUUCCCCCCGAGUUUAAUGAUUUGCCUGUAGCCUGGACAUUUGGCAUGCGUGGAAUGUUUGUCUCCACAUCUAGACCCAUUGUGUCGGAGGAAGAGAAAACUAGAGGAAAAGAUCUACGUGCCUAUCUCAGGAUGGGUGUUUGUCCAUUUUGAAGCUGAUCAAUGAAUGAAAGAAGAUUAUUGUUUCAAAGCAUCCAGAAGGUCCUGCUUGAAUCCAAAGCAGCAGCUGGUUUCACUUUACCUGCUUUAUCGAUGUACAGAACCCCACCGUAAUAGGUCCGUUCCUGUGGUUUUAGUGGUGGAGUACAGAGGGAUUGGAUAGGGCCCUUCUCACAGACUGACAUGGGGACUGGAACAGCUAAACCUGGAGCUGGAAUCUGCACUGAAGGGGUUUUGGAGAUGCCAAGCUGUUCUCCUAAUGAGAUGCAUACCAGCAUUGAAGCCUGUGAGACAGAUUGGGCCUCCUGCUAGCGCGGUCCACCACGGUCAGAGACCUUCCACUGCCCUGCAGGCAAUACAGCCACAGUUUCACUCUCUUCCUAUCAUGCUCCAUUGCUGCUUACCUUGUGCUCCGCCCACCUCUGCAUGCUCGACAUCCUUACAGAUCCACUCGGAACAAAAACAAAGGUGACCUUGCUGUGCCGUUUCAGACCGUAAUGGGUUGCUCUGUUUCAUGCGUGAGGUCAUAUCAGCAGCACCUGCAAGGACUGCAGAGUGCCUGAAUCACGGAAUCUGACACAGGGGGAUGUGUGUGCCGCAAAUGCCCAGAGUUUGACUAGGAGCUGAACAAAGAGAGCUGUCAACCAGUCAAGGUCCCACUUCAUAAUUAACUUCUCCUGGGGCACACUGGCCAUGUGGCCACACAGACCACAGUGAAAAUGAACUUCCCUCUUGUGGAAUCCCAUUCUGUGUGUAAAAACACAAAAAAAAGGCUCCCCUCAGGUGUGCCACAGGUGACUACCCUGGGUCCCAUGUAGAACCUGAUGGAUAAGCAACAACGCUGUGGAUUAUGCCGUAAGGGUGAUGUCAUUCCCUGUACAUUAGUGAGCUUGAAUCAACGAUUUUUGCUUGGCUCAUCCAAUCAGACUGGUUGGUUUUGAGCCAGGUCUAUAAUUAUUAAGGAUUAACACACUACACCUCUAGUAUCAAAGGGAUAGUUCAACUAAAAAGGAAAAUUGUCAUCAUGGUCAUUCUAAACCUCUUUCAUAUUCCGUGGAAUACACACAAAAAAAAAGAUUUUUAAAAAUGAUUUAACAUUUUUUAUCACAAUGACAGUGGAAGUCAACGUGGUUCUACAGAACUGUCUUCAGAAAUACCUCAGAAGUACAAUUAGUAAAUAAAAAUAAUUAACAACCAA